rnacentral:rRNA from 1 species
AAAUUUUAAUGUAAAUUUAAAUGUUAAUCUGUAGAGGUACAGCUCUACAGAAUAAGACUACAACUUUAAUUAGAGAGUAAAUUUUUGUAACAACCAUAGUUGGCCUAAAAGCAGCCACCAAUUAAGAAAGCGUUCAAGCUCAACAAUUAAAUCAAUAUUUAAUUUAAAAAAUUAUAUUAACCCCUAAUUUAAUUACUGGGUUAUUCUACUAAAUGUAGAAGAAAUACUGUUAAUAUGAGUAACAAGAUUUUAAAUCUCCAAACACACGUGUAUAUCAGCCCGAAUACCUACUGAUAAUUAACAAUUAAAUAAACCUACAUAUAAAUUAAACUAUUUUUUAUUAUAUUGUUAAUCCAACACCGGUGUGUAUAAUAAGGAAAGAUUAAAAAAAGUAAAAGGAACUCGGCAAACAUAAACCCCGCCUGUUUACCAAAAACAUCACCUCUAGCAUUUUCAGUAUUAGAGGCACUGCCUGCCCAGUGACAUUAGUUAAACGGCCGCGGUAUCCUGACCGUGCAAAGGUAGCAUAAUCAUUUGUUCCUUAAUUAGGGACUUGUAUGAAUGGCCUCACGAGGGUUUAACUGUCUCUUACUUUUAAUCAGUGAAAUUGACCUUCCCGUGAAGAGGCGGGAAUACUAAAAUAAGACGAGAAGACCCUAUGGAGCUUAAAUUAAAUUAUCCAACAAACUUAACUUAAAUCCAACAGGGAUAAAUAUGAUUUAACUGGGUAAUAAAUUUUGGUUGGGGUGACCUCGGAGCAUAACUCAACCUCCGAGCAGUUAAAACUCAGACUUACCCGUCAAAGUUGUACUAUCAAUUGAUCCAAUCUUAUUGAUCAACGGAACAAGUUACCCUAGGGAUAACAGCGCAAUCCUAUUUGAGAGUUCAUAUCGACAAUAGGGUUUACGACCUCGAUGUUGGAUCAGGACACCCAAAUGGUGCAGCAGCUAUUAAGGGUUCGUUU